AGAAUCCUUAAGGGGAAGUCAUUCAUGCACUCAUCCGUUCAACGAAUGCUUAUUACAUACCUACUAUGUGUCUGGUGCUAUUCCAGGCACCAGGGGCACAGCCCUUUUUGCCCUCAUGGAGCUCACAUCUAAUGGGAGAGGCAACCAAUAAGUAAAUGUAUAGAAUGCCGGACAGCUAUAUGUGCUAUGGAGAACAUAAGGCAGGGAAGGGUAUUGAGAGUGGGGGGAAGGGCGAUAUUUACUCAAAGACAGCUGGACGAAGCCCAGCUGAUAAGGUGUGGGACGCAGUGAGGGAUCCAGCUGUGUAGAUGUUUGGGGAGGAGGCUUCCGCAGACCGAACAAGCAGCAGGAGGCCAGUGCUUGUGAGAGAGUCGAGUGAGCCGGAAGGGGCCACGGGAAGGAUAGAGCCGCUAUUUAUGGAGAAGCAGGUUUGAAGGAUGGACGUUUUGGCUGUGAAGAUCUAAACCCAAGUCCCUCAAGCCAGUUAGUUUAAUUCAGCUGGAGUUAAGGUUUCAGGUCCCGAUCUGCUGCUUCUUCGACUCUGACCGUGUCUGGAGGGACAGUGGCCCAGCUUCCGCCCCGCAGGAAGGCUGUCCUGCUGUUCCUCCUGCCUUUCCACCCAAAGCCUUCUCCAGCUCCCCCAAAUCCAGAGAGAAGAUGACUUACCUGCCUGCUCGCCCGCCUUCACCCCUCACCCAGCACACACCUGCCUCAUGCCAUCACUUCUAUUUAUGUCUUCUCUCUCCAGGGCUUGAUCCGGUCACUUCACACAUGAGGGACUGCAGGGGGCUGUGCUGCAUUCAUCCUGCAGAGACCUCGACUUCACCCCAACAUCAGCACCUGCCCAUUUCUCAAGGGGGAGACUUUUCGAUGAAAGUCUUCGUGUAUUUAACAUCAAGUCCACAUUAAUGGCUACCACACAACAGGUGCUUGGGACAGUGGAUGUCUGGGUGUGCCGCCGAAGCUCUGCCCACGGGAGGAUCCUCCCUCACUGCUGUUCCUCGGGAAGACCCAGAGAGGGUUGCAGUGCAGCACGAGUCUGUUCCCAGUGUGCGUCCAGCAAGCCAACCCGUUUGUGAACCAAGCUCUCCUUUUUUCCCCCCUCUUCCUUCAGAUGAUCAUAAAGUGCCCCCCCCCACUCCCAUGUAUCCACCAAACAUGGAUAACUAGUGGAGAGGUACCUGUGUAGCGGGAGACAUGGGGGUCUGGGCCACGUGCUGUGUAGCUUACUCGUACGUCUUACUUGUGCCCUCUGUCUUUGCUCAAGUUCAACUGAUGAAUCUGACAGAAUCGACCUCAUGAUAGGAAGUUCUGGCCGCAUGAACACUGAUGGCCGUGGUCAGGUGUUCUGUUUAUACCAGGGUUCAGUGGCAUUCCAGAAGCUGUUCUGCAAAAAGUUUAUAAUGAUCUUAUGCAAAUAGAAUAGACCUGCUCCAGACCCCAUGUGUCUACAUAAUUCUCCUAUUUGGGCUUGCCAUAAACUCCACAUAAUUUCUUCACGGAUGCCUCUAAUGCCACAGUUGUAUGGCCCUUAUCUGCGAGGUGGUAGGCCAGCUUGCACCAUGGCCUGGAGCUGCUGAAGAACUCUUUUCAACUCUGGACUCUGCUCAAAGUUGGCAUCCCUUUGUGCCAUCAUUUACAUGAGUUGAAGCAGCAUUGCCAAGUAUGGAAAGUUGUCUCCAGAACCCAUAGAGGCCCACAAGGCAUUGUACUUUUUUCUUUGAGUUGGGAGGUGCAGGAUGAAAUCAUUUGUCCUUCCUUAUGGAUGCCCUAGAUCACUGGACCCCUAAACAUUUCACUGAUGUGGCAGGCCCUAGAAUCUUCUUAGGGAUUAUUUUCUACCCUCUAGAGUAAACAUGUCUUAGCAAAGCCUCCAAAAUACUUGCCACUUCUUGCCCCUCCAGUCUGAUUAAUAUAAUGUCAUCAAUGUAGUGUAUCAAUGUGAUGCUAUUCAGGAUGUCCAGACAGUCAGGUCUCUUUGGACUAUAUUAUAUCAGAGGGCAGGAGAGAGAACACAGGUGGAGGGUAGCGGGAAUAAGGCCAUAGUAUGUACAUUUAUCCAUUUAAAGUGAAUGUAAAUCUUUUCUGCUUCUCCUUGACAGGGAUGGAAAAGAAAGUAUUCACUAGAUCAAUGGCUGUAAACCAUGUACCUGAGGCUGGGUUAAUUACCUUUAGCAAAGAUACUAUAUCUGGCACAGCAGUUGCAACGGGGCUACGAUUUGUUGAGUUUGCAGUGGUCCUUUUUUUUUUUCUUUU